rnacentral:rRNA from 1 species
UACGUAGGAUGCAAGCGUUAUUCGGAAUUAUUGGGCGUAAAGCGCCUGUAGACGGCAUAGUCAGUCACGUAUUAAAUUCUGGGGCUCAACCCCAGAGCUGUAGGUGAUACUGCUAAGCUAGAGAAUUGCAGAGGCAAGUGGAAUUCCCGGUGUAGGAGUUAAAUCCGUAGAUAUCGGGAGGAACACCAAAAGCGAAGGCAUCUUGCUGGAGUAAUUCUGACGUUGAGAGGCGAAAGCGUGGGGAGCGAACAGGAUUAGAUACCCGGGUAGU